rnacentral:rRNA from 1 species
CGGGAGGCAGCAGUGGGGAAUUUUCCGCAAUGGGCGAAAGCCUGACGGAGCAAUACCGCGUGAGGGAAGAAUGCCUAUGGGUUGUAAACCUCUUUUUUCAGGGAGGAAUAAAAUGACGUGUACCUGAAGAAUAAGCAUCGGCUAACUCCGUGCCAGCAGCCGCGGUAAGACGGAGGAUGCAAGUGUUAUCCGGAAUCACUGGGCGUAAAGCGUCUGUAGGUGGUUUAAUAAGUCAACUGUUAAAUCUUGAGGCUCAACUUCAAAAUCGCAGUCGAAACUAUUAGACUAGGGUAUAGUAGAGGUAAAGGGAAUUUCCAGUGGAGCGGUGAAAUGCGUAGAGAUUGGAAAGAACACCGAUGGCGAAAGCACUUUACUGGGCUAUUACUAACACUCAGAGACGAAAGCUAGGGUAGCAAAUGGGAUUAGAUACCCCAGUAGUCCUAGCUGUAAACAAUGGAUACUAGAUGUUGAACAGAUCGACCUGUGCAGUAUCAAAGCUAGCGCGUUAAGUAUCCCGCCUGGGAAGUAUGCUCGCAAGAGUGAAACUCAAAGGAAUUG